GAUGAAUUCAUUUGAAGAUUUUGCAAGCGAUCUUAGUGUUGAUGAUAUUGAAGCACUUGAUGAUGAAGAUGAUCUUAUAGAGGCGUUGCUUUUGAAUGAUGAAGAUGAGGAUGAGUACAUGUGGAACGAGAUGAUUACAAGUGUCAUUAAUCAAUCAAAUGUGAUAAAGCAGGUUCCUCGUCCAUGUCGAACUAGGCCAUUCUCUGGUCAUAUGCUUGCAGAAGAUAUGUUGGCUGGACAUCCUGAUCGUUCAUAUUCUUGCUUCCGAAUGAGUUCUGAGAAAGCAUUGGGAGCAAUUGAUGGAUCUCAUAUUCCUGUAAUUGUGAAGAAAAAGAAACACAACAGCAUCUGAUAUGUCAGUACUUCGUGCAACACUGGAAGAUGGUAAAUUUAAUGUUCCUGAAGGUCGCUUUUACUUAGUUGACUCGGGAUAUGCUAAUACUUCAAAAUUUAUCGCCCCAUAUCGUGGAUCACGCUAUCAUAUUGGGGAUUUUACAAAUGGG